rnacentral:tRNA from 2 species
AAGCCCGUACCACGGCCCGUUGGAUCAGUCGACUCUCGGUCGAUCGGCCGCCGGCUCAAGUCCGGCCGGGCCUACCA